CCUACGGGUGGCAGCAGUAGGGAAUAUUGCUCAAUGGGGGAAACCCUGAUGCAGCAACGCCGCGUGGGUGAUGAAGGUUUUCGGAUUGUAAACUCCUUUUGUUAGAGAAGAUAAUGACGGUAUCUAACGAAUAAGCACCGGCUAACUCCGUGCCAGCAGCCGCGGUAAUACGUAGGGUGCAAGCGUUACUCGGAAUCACUGGGCGUAAAGAGCGCGUAGGCGGGAGAGCAAGUCAGAUGUGAAAUCCUAUGGCUUAACCAUAGAACUGCAUUUGAAACUGUGAUUCUAGAGUAUGGGAGAGGUAGGUGGAAUUCUUGGUGUAGGGGUAAAAGCCGUAGAGAUUAAGAGGAAUAC
rnacentral:rRNA from 1 species